CUACGGGUGGCUCCAGUGAGGAAUAUUGCACAAUGGGGGGAACCCUGAUGCAGCAACGCCGCGUGGAGGAUGACGCAUUUCGGUGUGUAAACUCCUUUUAUAUGUCAAGAAAAUGACGGUGGCAUAUGAAUAAGCACCGGCUAACUCCGUGCCAGCAGCCGCGGUAAUACGGAGGGUGCAAGCGUUACUCGGAAUCACUGGGCGUAAAGGACGCGUAGGCGGGUUGGAAAGUCAGGUGUGAAAUCCUACAGCUUAACUGUAGAACUGCACUUGAAACUUCUAAUCUAGAGUAUGGGAGGGGGAGAUGGAAUUAGUGGUGUAGGGGUAAAAUCCGUAGAUAUCACUAGGAAUACCUAAAGCGAAGGCGAUCUCCUGGAACAUUACUGACGCUAAGGCGUGAAAGCGUGGGGAUCAAACAGGAUUAGAUACCCCGUAGUC
rnacentral:rRNA from 1 species